rnacentral:rRNA from 1 species
AUUGAACGCUGGCGGCAUGCUUUACACAUGCAAGUCGAACGGCAGCGCGGGCUUCGGCCUGGCGGCGAGUGGCGAACGGGUGAGUAAUACAUCGGAACGUACCCAGUAGUGGGGGACAGCUCGGCGAAAGCCGGAUUAAUACCGCAUACGACCUGAGGGUGAAAGCGGGGGAUCUUCGGACCUCGCGCUAUUGGAGCGGCCGAUGGCAGAUUAGCUAGUUGGUGGGGUAAAGGCCUACCAAGGCGACGAUCUGUAGCUGGUCUGAGAGGACGACCAGCCACACUGGGACUGAGACACGGCCCAGACUCCUACGGGAGGCAGCAGUGGGGAAUUUUGGACAAUGGGCGAAAGCCUGAUCCAGCAAUGCCGCGUGUGUGAUGAAGGCCUUCGGGUUGUAAAGCACUUUUGGCGGGAACGAAAAGGACUGUGCCAAUACCACGGUUCGAUGACGGUACCCGCAGAAUAAGCACCGGCUAACUACGUG